rnacentral:lncRNA from 1 species
UGAAGUCUCAGUUGUGACCGGAGGCCAAACUGGAGUUAUUCUGUAGCUGGGCUGUAGGGAUCACCUUCAGCACCCUGGCGGGACUGGUCUUUGACUGGACGAUUGAGAAGGACACGCAGGCGGGCGGGUUCUCAGACUCCCACAGUGCCCUGCGCUGCAUGAGCUGGACACAGUUCUUUCCCCUGCACUCUCCAGCCUAGAAACUGAGACUGGGAGAGGUCCAGCCAUUGUCUGGAGUUGGUAAGUGACAGAGCUGGGAUUUGAACUCAGGAACAUGGAGUGAUGGCCGGGUGGGCCUUCAGUUGGGAGCCCCAAUAACAGUGUCUAGGGUUUUUUUCUCCCAGGGUGAGUCCCUUCCCGGAGCAGGGUUUUUCAACCUCCAAAGCUGGCGAUUGUGAGGUUUCAGUUCACCUACAAUCAUUCAAAUUGCCUGAUUUCAGCGUGUCACUGAGUGGACACCUGAAUCUCCUGUCCAAGGAAUCUCUUUUUUUUCUUUCCUAGGAAUAAAUCUUUGAAGUUAUGCUGGGGUAGAGGAUGGCCAGCUGCCCAGCAGCAUAGACUUGGAAAGGGGGCCUGUUUACCUGCUCUUCAAAUAUCUGCUGGUUUGGAGGAUGCCAAAAAUCUUGUCAUCACCUUCCCAGAAACAAAAGUGCUGAGGGCCAAGGCCAUUGCUAGAGCCUGGAGUGUGUUGGGAACUGGCUGGCCCCAGGGCUGCCUGAAGAUCAUUUGGCUGCAUCUCUCUGCCUCUCUGGAGCCUGCUACUGCCGGAAACAAGAGGACGUCUUGUGUCUCCCCAAGUACUUUUCCUGGUAAGGCUUUGUCCCAGGUGAGGAAAAGCAUCAUCCCACAGCAAAUCCCUUUAGCAUGGACUGCCAUUGCAUCUUCUUUGUGUAUAAUUCCUCUGAAUUCAGUUUUCCAGGCUGGUCUGCCAGCUGGCCAUCCUGCAGUCCAAGUCAAGCUUUCCUGCCUUUUGUGCCAAUAGACAAAGACUUAGUGAGUUAAUGUGAUUCCUUGGCUCUUCCUCUAGAGAAAUUAUGUCUUGGUUACUUUUUCAUUGCGGGGACAAAACACUCAACAGUCACAAUUUAAAGGAGGAGAGGUUUAUUUUGGCUCACACUUUCAUAAGUUUCAGUCCACGCUCCAGCUCAGGGCCAGCAUGGUGGAAGGGCCUGGGUGGAUGAAUGCGGCUUGCAGCAAGGCAGCUAGGAAGCAGAAGGAGGAACUGAGGAAGGAGAUACGCUCUCUCAGGUCAUGCCCCAGUGACCCACAGCUGCUGACAGGGCUCUUCCUGCUAAGAGCACACAGUAAGGACCUCAUCAGUGAAUCAAUCCACUGAUAAGCACAGCGCCCCCAUGAUCCAAGCAUCUUCUGAAUGCCCCACUGUAGGGAACAGGGAAAGGGGACGUUACUAGAACCUCUGCAGUAUGUCCUAGUCUCCUUCGAGCCAUGACAGCACAAGGCGAAUCAGUUUAUUACACAGAAAAGAUAGAAAAAAUGAGACUUAGAGAAGAAGCUGAGCUUUGGGCCUGAUCAGUGCUGCUCUGGGCAGCAAAGAGGAAAGCCCCCAGCUUGUGGCACCUUUAUUCAGUACAUCGGGAGAAACAAAUGUAGCAGAUGACUCAGGGCAGAGAGGUCAGUACAUGCAGAGAAACACAUGUAACAGAUGACUCAGUGGUCAGAGGAAAUCUUAGAAUAAUGAGGAACUACGCAGAUGAAGAUUUUGUUCCUCGCAGGAUGUCUUCAGCUGGUGUAAUCUUGUCCUGGAGCAUCACAGCAUCACCGGACCAUUGAGGUCUUAGCUGUGACCAGAGGCCAAAAUGGAGUUAUGUCUUGAAAUGUCGUAGCUGGCCUGUAGGCAGGAGAACUACACCUGAUCAAAUGAUUUUUCCCCGAAAUUAUGUAGAAUUGCUCCCGGGACCCACCAAUACAUGAGGCUUUUGGAAUGAGAGGGCCUUCCAGUUCCAAACCAUAGCAAAUUGCUUUGGAAAUCCCACAGGUUUCAACAAAAUAUAUGUUUCAUAGUGUAAUCAUGGGCAAAAUAUAUGUUUCAUAGUGUAAGCAUGCUCUGGAAUUUGGAACUUAGGCUAUUUUGGCUUUUGAAAUGUAAAUGAAAAUCAAAGGUAUUUAGGUUGUUGUUAAUGGUUUUAAUAUAUCAGCUCUCCAGGGCUGGGGAUUUAGCUCAGUGGCAACGCACCUGCCUUGCAAGCACAAGGUCCUGAGUUCGAUCCCCAGUACCAAAAAACAAAGCAAAC